rnacentral:lncRNA from 1 species
UUUUUUAUUCCUAAACAAGUAUAUUUCAUUUAGUUGUAUGUAUAAUAUAGUGAUAUAGGACGGUCUAAGCCUACCAGGUUUGACCAGGCCAGGUCUUGAUUUUUUGACUGCAGGUCGGGCCAGACCAAAUUUAGAAAAAAAAAUGUAACCUAUUGAGGCCUACAGGCUAGGCCGGGCCAGGCCUCAUUAGGCCCAAGUCAGCCCAAGUGCUCUUUAUUUCAAAAAAUUUAAACUCAACUUCUCCUUUAUUAAAUAAAAACAGGACAAAAAACUUUUACUAGACUAUGUGAGAUUAUGCCCAAGUUUAACCAAACCUCCAUUUAUUAAAGAAAAGCACGGAUAACAAACUUUUUUUUAAACUAUAUGAGAGUGGAACUAUGCCAUGCUUAGCCAAACUUCCUUUCCUCUAUUUAUAGAAGAAAAGUAAGGACAAGAAAUGUUAACUAGACUAUGUGAG